UGUGUGUAUAUAUAUAUAUAUAUCAAUUUGACGUUUGAAACUAGAAAUUAGGAAUUAUAACUGGAAUUAUAUUAUUUGAUGGGUGUAGAAAAUUAACAUAAAGGAUUGAAUUAAUGAGCUCGCGAGGCUUUGAGGGCAGCGGGCCGAACGGGCGGGGGUUGGCAAACCAAACAACGGGCUUGACAUACGUCAUCACAGAUGCAAGGAUCUAGUGUACAAUGUUGCAUACAUGGAUCGUAGCACUCUAUUUGAUUGUAGAACGCUGCCGCAUAUUCACCACUAAAAAUCAACACUAUCGUCAAUGCAACUACAAAUCCCAUUUUCCACGAUUCCAUAUUUCCUCACUUGCUUCUAUUUCAAAUAUAGAUAUAUAUUUAAC
rnacentral:lncRNA from 1 species